rnacentral:rRNA from 1 species
GACGAACGCUGGCGGCGUGCUUAACACAUGCCAGUCGAACGGAAAGGCCCUGCUUGUGUGGGGUGCUCGAGUGGCGAACGGGUGUGUAACACGUGAGUAACCUGCUCUUGACUUUGGGAUAACUUCAGGAAACUGGGGCUAAUACCGGAUAGGAGCUCCUGCUGCAUGUGGGGGGUUGGAAAGUUUCGGCGGUUGGGGACGGCCUCGCGGCCUAGCAGUUUGUUGGUGGGGGAGGGGCUUACCAAGGCAUUGACGGGUAGCCGGCCGGAGAGGGUGACCGGCACAAUGGGGACGGGAAUCGGGCCCAGCCUCCACCGGGAGGCAGCGGUGGGGAAUAUUGCACAAUGGGGGGAGGCCGAAUGCAGCACCGCCGCGUGGGGGAUGACGGCCUUCGGUUGGUAAACCGCUUUCGCCUGUGACGAAGUGUGAGUGACGGUAAUGAGUUAAGAAGCACCGGCUAACUACGUG